AGAGUGAAAUAUAAAAUUUACAGUGAUUUUUAAUGAAAAAGAAAAAUAAUCGCUAAAGGUUAAAAUAAGGGGAAAGAAAUAAAAGCAGAAAAGUCCUUGGAAGGAGAAGCGUUUUCCAGAGAGGGGCUCGUCCCUUUUCACGAAAGGAAGGAAAUUACAAGAAAUAGAUCGUUUAAAAUAAUCAACCCAACGUCGAACAGUAAGAAUUUUCCCAGUCGAGAGUCCGUCUCUGCCAGAAGGUCCGUAAAAAAAACAAAAAAAACAAAAAAAAACAAGACCAUACAGAUUUCGAUACUGUUUUAAUUCAGUUUCGACUGUUGUUAAAAAAACACAUUUUUAAUUUUUUGAAAAACCCCGUCUGAGCCCGUAAAAAAAUCGCGGACUAUUUUUUCGGUGAGAGGAGAAGGAAAAAGGCUUUGGAGCGAAAGGGAAGAAAAUCGUGGGAAAUUGUUUUUCGGGCAGUGUGUUUCUGUCGAGUGACGUCACCGUAUUGAUCCCGAGGAGGCGAAGAAUCCUACGUCCCGUGAAAACGUCGUUCCGUGAAUAUCGCCAUCUUGUUCUCGGGUGGUCGUUUAACUGCGGGACGAGUCCGAAAAACGUUGGCAGCCCGAGUCGUCCGUCCCGAUUUUCGCCGAGAAGGAGUUUAUAUUUCUUCUUUUUACACCGUAGCCCAAUCGAACGGACCUGAGAAUAAAGGUUCGUUCUGAGGGUCUGUUAUAAUCUAAAUGGUUCCCUGCGGACAGCAUGUCUACAUUGUCGGGGGUACCAACGAAGGGGGAGAAAGGAAAAAAGUUCCAAUCCCUAGAUAUAAAUAGCUUGUACAGCACAACAAGGGGCGAAUCUAGUGAUCACCAUCCUCAAAAGAACUUACUAGCACGCAGACAUGGAAUGCAAACGCUUGGCAAGGUCCCACCAUCUCGUCGUCCCCCGGCUAAUCUCCCUAGUUUGAAAUCAGAACACAGCGGAAACGAUCCAACAGUAAGCCUAGUACCGACAGGAGGAACAGGAUGGGGGAGCAAGCCAGGAGAAAUGGGUCCAUCCCCAACACCCCAGCCGACCACACAGACUUCAACGACACCGGCGAGUUCAAUAAGCCAAUCACAUGGAACAAGUGCCCCUGCUGCCGUGGGGACACCUGUUCCGCCGCAAAACUUGUCAACACAGACCCCAACCACUCAACCACAGGUGAUGAUGAAGCCAGUAGGAAACACAACAAGCACAGGAGACAAAACUUGGAGUUCAGUUAUGUGUGCAGAUCAAGGUCCGAGCUUCCUGGCACACCAGUCACCGCAGUUCCACCAAGAAUUCCCGAGCCUAUCUGGGGAGGGAGUGGCCCAGGCCCACCCGAAGGGGAGUGGAGGGGCGGUGAUGGAUAUUCCUUAUGGCCCAGGCCCAUCUCUUCGCCCGCAAACGGAAGGCUCUUGGGUUUUAGGAGGGAGUGCGAGAGCAGCCACACCCCAACACCCUUAUUUUCCUCAGGAGACUGGUGGAGUUCGCAACAACUUGGGCCAAUUUGGGGCGGGCGUGGCCCCGGUAGGCCUUUCCAUCUCGCCUCCUCAGAGCCAGAUUUCUUCUCUGCCGUUCAAAGGGAGCAUGCCGUUCUUGUUAUCUAAAACAGGCCCAAAUUCAUUCCCGUCCGGAUUUUCGGGAAUACCCCCUUCAGUUAGAUCAAGUCAUAUGUCAGGCCCUUCUGAAAACCGAUUCAUGCCAGGCUCCUCCCGCCCCACCGUCGGUGAUUCAGAGGACCUUCCAAUUGUCAAAGUCGAAGAUAUCAAUCGCAUCGAUGAAAUUGCGAGGGAUACCGGCUGGGCCAAUCAAGAUGAUAUCGAUUACAGUGAAACGCUGAAUUUCAGCGAUAAUGAAAGCACAGGAGCUGACGACGAUAGGGAUAAACAGAAAUCUUCACCUCAACGUAUUAAAGAUGACCAUAAAAAGGAAAAUGAUUCUGAUAAACAAAACAGCCAUCAAAACGAAAAGCCCUGGCUGCAAAGAAACACAUCACUGCCAUCGUCUGACUAUAGAGCAUCUAUGUCUAGAACAAAUGACCCAGUUAUAAGACAAGAAAUGGAACUGAGCACGGAAAUGCAAGCAAAGAGAAAUUUAAGAGAGUCGAUAGCGGCUGUUGCUGAUAGAGCACAUCAGAGGAAAGAGGAUGAAGAACAGAGAUUUGUCCUCAAGAAAAGUAUGCAGGAAAAUGAGCUGAAAAACAAAAACAAGGAUGAAUCGUCAUUUUCCUCUAUGUCAAAUGACAGAGAGAAAGAGGACAAACAAAUGACACCGACAUUGAUCAAUAAAGACACAAGUGACAGAGAUUUCAGGCAAAUUUCACAAAUGGAUUCGAGGCCAAACUAUGGGCGGGACAGGGAUCGUGAUCGGGAUCGCGACCGUGACCGUGACCGCGACCGGGGUAGGGACAACACUUACUCAAGCUUCACACUAGCCCCAAGGUUCCAGAAGCAACAAAACGAGAAAAACAACCAGCAGUACAUGCGCCAGCAUGCUUCCAACAGUUCAAAUUAUCAAUUUCAAAAUUUCAACUCAAUAGGAGAUGAUCCACGGUGCCUCCUCUCGAACCACGGCUCCUCACAUUAUAAUAAAGGAGGUGGAUCAAACCGAUCUGGCGAAUCUGAUAUUUCUGAACGUGGAAAAGAAAGGCUGAAGGACAAGGAAGAUGAAAAAGAAAGGGAUAGUAGAGACAACCGCCACACUCCUCCAGAACAGGAUCGUGAUCGUGAUCGUGACCGGUUUAGAGGAGUAAGAAAUGACAGAGGUUACGAGUCUAACAGAAAAAGCUAUUUUGACAGCCAUGGACCAGAUUACAAUAGAUCUCAGAGAGGUUAUGAAGAUAGAAAUAAAGAAUCUUAUUGCAGGCAGCGGGAAAGGGAGGUUGAAUGGGAAGGAAGAAGAGGGACCACCUGGGAAAACAGAAAUCAUGCCGAUGAUAAGAAAGGUCGUAGGGAUGUUAAAAAACCUAAUCCUGUGGACGGCUACAACAAAGUUCAUUCUAAUUUUUCGGAUGAUAGAGACGAUAUAAGAGAGAGGCCACAAAGACCAGAAAGUAGAGACAGGCCUGAACACCCGACAAGACCUGAUUCUCGAGAUUCUAGGAUAUCUAGAGAGUCAAGAAACUCUAAGGAAUCCAUCAGAGAUGACACGAGGUCUAUGGGUGAAACAAGCCACAGUUUUAGCUGGGACAACAGGGAAGACAAGCCAAGGAAAAAAGAUAGUUUUAAAGAAGACAGGAGAGAAAAUCAAUCUAGAAGAGAAGGCUACGGUCCGAUAAAGAAUGAAAAAUUCACAGCUUAUGACAAACAGUACAGUGAGAAGAAGGAACAGUUGAGCACGUCGUUGAUACUGACUAGGACAACGGCAGAUGAGUGGACAAAGCUGGGUCCAGGUGUGACUUCGACGAGUAACAAUACAUCUUGGGCAGACGCCACUGAAGAGAAUAGCCCGUCGACAGUCCAUCAGAAAUCUUCUCCUUCACCUCCCCUUACAGACCAGUCAUUAACGCAGCCAACGCAAUCUCAACUGCCUGCUGAAGAAGAAGGUGAAACUCAGAUCAAAGAUGAUACACACGAUAAAAAAAAGGAUGUAACGCUGCUGAAAGACAACAGGGGUGAAAAGAGCAAUAGAGGUGGAGGAAACCGUGGUUCAGGAAGAGGUGGUUCGAGGCAAGGCGGUCUCUCUGGAAAUAGCAAUUACACGGGAUUUCCUUCUCGUAGCAACUGGCCGAAUAGGGAAGGAGGUGGAAGGCGUGUUGGUAACAAGCCUCAAAAGGGUCAUCGAAUGGGUUCUGAAUCAGAAGGGUCUGCAGAUGAAAUUUCUGCAUCCACUGAAUCAGGGAAAGAAGAUAAAAAGACUAACGAUGGCAAACAAAGGUCUGGAGACAGAAAAAAAGACAAGGACGAAAGAAACAGGGAGUCAAAGAAAAACGAGGCCGACAAGGGCUCAACACAAACCAGGCAGGAUAGAAAGCAACAGCCCCAGCAACAACAGCCCAUCGGAAGCGGUGGCGGCUAUGACUCUGGCAGGAGAAAGGAAGGGGGAUUUGCCCCAAUCGGAGAACCUUCAAGGCGAGGCAGAGGCGGAGGAGGCUUCCGGGCUUCACGAGGAGGGAUGUGCAAUGUCGGUGGCCAGUACGGACCUCCGGGAAGUAAAUCCCCAUUCCCCUCUCACCAGCACACGGAGAACAAAAAUGAAAACGACGACAAACUCAGCACUGAUAAACCCUUACAAGGAGAUUCCGACCUUCAAUCGGAAGAAAAGGCUAAACAUAAAACAAAUACUGCUGGAAUUACAGGAUUCUCUCGCCAGAACAAGGACAUGAGGAAAGAGGAUGGCAACCGCAACCAGAAAAACAAAAACAAAGGGAAAGGCAGCGGCGAGGAAACGCAAAGUGAUGCAAGUGAAAGCGGCGACGGAAAGGGAAAACACUUUAGACAUCCUAACAAAAUGGAUAAGAGUAAAUUUCAGAGGUCUGUUGGUGAUAAACGUGGGACAUUCAACUCGAUGCAAAUGAAUGGAAGACCCAGUAGAGCAGACGAUGGUAAAAAUGAGGACUUGGCUAAUAACAUUGUUGGUGAUAAAAAAGCCCUCAUGGAAAAAGACUCUGAUAGCUCUAAUUACACGAAUAAUGGCUUCCAAGAAGUGAGAAGUAAAAAAGUAGGCAAAGAACCACGUCCGUUGUCAAAAGAUGAUCAAAAACGUGGACGUGCCAAUAAAGAUGCAAAAGGGAAUCCCCAGGGCAGCAACCCUAACAAAGGCGCUCAAAUGAACAAAAUGCUACACUUGAAUAAACGAGAACGGAAUAACAAACCUCCUCGCCUUCAACGCCUUGAAAAUUCCCGCCAGCAACAACAGCAACAGCAGCAGGAGGUGAACGACAUGAACAAGCUCAACCACACUGUGCAACUAUUCUCGCUCAAUAGAACCGAAGUCGUCAAUUGCACCGCUGCACCGCCUCCGCCUACUAAUGCAUGGGACAAGCCUAUAUCACUCAGUACCAGAACGACACCACCGCCCAACACGGUCCACAUGUCUACGGUGAAUCCUGGACAGGAUAAGACCAGUAUGGAUCUCGGUGAUCAUCAGUCUGGCACUGGCAGUCAAACGGGAAGUCCAACUGCUGAUAAGGCCUUAACGAAAAUGAAUAGAGAUGUGGUGGAUAAGAAUAUGAGACAUCCCGUUCAGACAAUAAUUAUCCAAAAUACAAAUUAUAAAACCCAGGCACUGGAGAAAGUCAAAGGGAAGCUCGAUGAUGAUAUGGAGGCAAACACUCACCAAAUGCGUCUUGUCACAGCUGGCUACAAACCCAAUGAAAUGAAACCAGGUGACAAGGUGCCAGAAGCCCUACAGAUGCCGAUGGCAUUUAACAAGGGUGAGGACAAUGUCGAUAUGGAUUUCAAAUUUGAUUCAGAAUUAUCCCAGUUGACUGAAGACAAAACAAAUAUCCCUCACUCAAUAUUGGUCCAGUCAUCAUCCACAGCAGAUCUUAACCAAAAGAUUGCUUCCGUUAAAAAGGUCUGGGACCAUCCAGGUACCGUAAUGGAACAUCAUCAACACCAUGUCGAUGAAAAUUUAGGAGUGGUGUCAACAUCAUCGACAACCUUCACCACAAACUUCGGUGGCGUUGUCGACACGACUUUGGACCACUCUUCUGCUCACCAGGUCGAUGAUUCAGCCUUCAACAGUGCUGAUGUUUACGGUACUACGCCACUGCAAGGUACUGCAGGAGCGUAUAGCUCGGGUAAUGCCAACAUGAUGAAACCUGAUCCAAAUAAUCCGGCGUCGACGCCACAGCCACAAGCGGUGGCCAUGGCUUCAGGUCUAGCCAAUCAUUCAGGAGCUAGCCUAUCAUCUCCGCCACCUCAGUAUAAUCAAACUACACAUUUUAACAACUACCAACAAUAUAGUAACAUCCCUGCCAUCCCUUCACCACCUACUGUGAUAAAUUUGGCUGCAGGGGGCCAACAAGUUACAAGCGAUGUUUAUUCGUUUAUGAGCCCUGUAAUGGGAAGCCAGCCUACAAGGACCAAUUUCAACCAGUAUCAGUUUAACUUGAACCAGGGUAGCGUUAUGGGCCAGACGUCUGCAUACAACCAGCAAUCGCUAUAUCACAUUCCUCAGGCGGCCGGUACCAACGCUCCCCAUCCAAGUGAGGUCUACAGUCCCUUCAGACUACAGCCGAAUCCUUACGGGCAGUCUCAACAAAUUGGAAAUAAUCCUACUGUUUUGAUCACUUCGUCAACCGCCAAUUCGUCGCUCAUGUCAGCUAGCGUAAAGUCAACGACACAACUUGGCGCAAUCGGCACAAAGGGAUUCCAAUCAUCGCACCCACAGGUGCAACUUAAUUACAUGCCUUAUGAAGCACAAAUGGUAGCUUCCAAUUACAUAAGAGGGACUGUACCGACUAUGCAGACUACUCCUACUUCAUUUUAUUCUAAUUCAACAGUUGGACAAACAGGAUUGUUUCAAGCUCCAGGAAAUUCCCUUUUGACUGCUACAGGGAAUCAGACUGCAUUACAGGGCACAUUCGGUAUCCAGGGCUUUAACACACCUUCUGGUGGUAAUCCUGGGGCUUCAUCAUCAUCAAAUGUGACCCAGACAAACUAUAAUUCUCAAGCUGGACAUUAUCGAGGUCAGUCACAGAACUACUUGAAGCCAGCACCUCCUGUUCAGCAUCCUGGGGACGCUUCAAAGCUUGCUUCCUCAAAUCCUGAUGUCAUAAAUAGUGUAUUUUCUGGAGGUAGCAGUACUGGUCAAAUAGCAUCACCUAAGUCGAGGUCGAGCGGGGUCAACUCUGGUGGCAAUAAACAAGUACCAUCGCAGCAGCCCAGCCCAACACAGACCCACCCUAAAUUCUUGAAUUAUCAGUCGAAUCAGAACCUGGUGUUGCAGCAGCAGAGCACCAACAGUGGCGGCCAGAGGAACAACCAACCCCUGCCUGUACAGUACAUCCGCCCAGCAAAUAAUUCCAGCAUGUUGAGCAACAACAGCAUGUCAUCCAAGUACUCGCAACCUAUUCAAAGACCCAAUGCAUUCCAACAGAUGCCCUCGCCCCAGCAGCAGCAACAGCUCAUGCAGCAGCAUCAAUCAGUUCAACAGCAGAACCGCCAACAGCACAGAAUCCCCAAUUCAAGACAGCAGUCUCAGCCACAGACACAACACAACAAAAUGAUGCAUUAUUAUCCACAACAAGACAUUCAGUCAAUGUCAUUUUGUUGGUGACUACGCCAACUAACCCGGGCCACCCCCAAAGGGCACUACCCCAUACGUCCGAUUCUCAUUCGGGUAUACACUUAAUUUCGGCAGCAUUAGGAGGAUGUGGAUAAAAACCGUCCAAGGCCACAGAGGCCCCUGGAAAAGUCCACAUCCUCUCCACUUCCCGAGGACCAUUUGCCCUUUGCAUGUGGAGCACCCUCCGGAGAAAACCCGAGAUUUUUUAAUUGCACCACUGUAAAAAUAGAGCCUGGAAAUAUUGAAAGCAAGGUCGACACGGAUAAACUACAAGAGAGCAACUCUGCUGUUCCCAAGCAGGAUAAAGGGAAAGAAGAGACUACUAACACCGAACAGUAAUGUGCUAAGGAAAUGGAAUAUUAGAGAUAAUAGUGAAAUAUAAAAAACAAAAAACAAAAAAAACACAAAAAAUGUUUAAAAUAUCAAAAAAUAAUUGAAGGAAAAUGAUUAAAAUAAAAAGAGAGAAGUCACAGGAGGCAAGAUGUGGCUUUGUCGCUUUUAGGACAAAAGAGAAAAAGAAGAUAGAGACUAAAAAAUUGACUAAAAAGAAAAAAAAAAGGAAAGCGGUGCAAUAGAGUAUGGAUUUUUGAAUGUAGUUGCACAUUAUUGGCUGGGUGGAUUCCUCUCUUAAACUACCUGCAAGGCAGCACUUACACCAAUUAAUUGGUAUAUGAAUAAUGACACCCCUGAUUAGUGUUUACAUAAUUAUGGGUUAGGGUUUAGCUCUUACUUGAAAAUAUACUAGAUAUUGUAUUAUGUAUUAUGUAAUCCUCUUUUUACUGUGAGAUUUAUUCGUAUAUGUUCCUUAUUUCUAAUUGUACCGAGCACCGACGGGGCUUAGCGCGCUGAUGUAUAAUAACUCAUUAUUAUUUUUUUGAAAAUGAAAUUGAAAAAGCUAUAAAAUAAAUAAAGAGAAAAAGUCGAAAAUAAAAUUAACAUUACAAAAAAAGCUCCUGACGUGCUAGUUUGAUAUAUCAUUUAAAUAGUGUACGUGCGUAUCUGUGUGUGAUCCUCUUUUAAGUGUUUUAAAACUGAUCAAGAAACUCCAAGUUAUAUUGAACAAUAUUAAUCUCAUGGGGGGUCUACGGGAAUUAUAUACACAAAAAAAAAAUAAAAAAGGGAAAAGUAUGAUUUAUAUGGUUUUUCAUAUAAACAAUGCAUUAGUUAAAUUUUCGGAGUUGGUGCAGGCAUAAGACUACCCUCAUUCUUUCUGAAAUUUAUAUUAUAUUUAAAAAAAUGGUUAUUUAAAAUAAUUUAAAAAAUAAUGUGAAGUGAUUCAAGUGAAGGUGAAUUAAGCGAUAUUCAACAAGCGUGUUGUGCUGAUUACCUCAGUUUAUACAAGUGCAUAAUCGUGCUUGUUCAAAUAUAUUAACAAACUGUUGUGCUUCAUUUAUGUAAUACUACUACUACUACUACCUUAUAUUUAAUAAUUAUAAAUCUAGUAAAAUUGUUUUAAGGAAGGAAAAAUUUACUCUGUACACACUUCGGUGGAGAAAAUAAUCCAAUGUUUUAAAAAAAAUUGUUGAACUACAUUGAUUCUAAAAGUUCGGCAACUGCCAAUAAAUUUUGACUCAUAAAUUACAAGUCCCCUCAAAAACCUUGUAGGCGACUAAUGUACAGCAGAAAAAAAAAAAA
rnacentral:misc_RNA from 1 species